rnacentral:rRNA from 1 species
CAGCCGCCGCGGUAAUACGUAGGGUGCAAGCGUUAUCCGGAAUUAUUGGGCGUAAAGAGCUCGUAGGCGGUUUGUCGCGUCUGCUGUGAAAACUGGAGGCUCAACCUCCAGCCUGCAGUGGGUACGGGCAGACUAGAGUGCGGUAGGGGAGAUUGGAAUUCCUGGUGUAGCGGUGGAAUGCGCAGAUAUCAGGAGGAACACCGAUGGCUAAGGCAGAUCUCUGGGCCGACACUGACACUGAGAGACGAAAUCUAGGGGAGCAAAUGGGAUUAGAUACCCGUGUAGUCCCUGUCUCUUAUAC